rnacentral:misc_RNA from 1 species
GUCAGAAGCAAGAUGAUAUAUGCAAGCUCCAAAGAUAGAUUCAAGAGAGAGCUGGAUGGCUUUCAGGUUGAGCUUCAAGCAACCGAUCCGACCGAGAUGGGUCUUGAUGUCAUUCGAAGCCGAGCUGGCUGACCGCUAUAUUCUAAUUUGAACAGUCAAUUUGGGUAAAGUAGUAUCCUUUUUUGCCUACACAUCUUCUUUUCGAGGUGAACGAGUGUCUUGGUCCUGGAUUUGCGGUAUAUA